rnacentral:tRNA from 1 species
AGAGAAAGACGACUAAAGUUUCCAAACUAUUUAAUCAAAUAUGUUUAUUCUCAUCGCUGUUAAUUAUUAUCAUAUAGUGGAGUCUCAUAGCUCAGCUGGUUAGAGCGCUACACUGAUAAUGUAGAGGUCGGCAGUUCAAGUCUGCCUGAGACUACUACGUUUAGUUUUAGUACUAAAUUAAAAUGAGAAUUUUAGAAAGUUGAGUAUAUGAUUAAUAACUCUUUAAACUGGGGGAUUAGCUCAGCUGGCUAGAGCGCCUGCCUUGCACGCAGGAGGUCAUCGGUUCGACUCCGAUAUUCUCCACAAUCAGUUUUAUACUGAAAAGUUCUUUGACAUAUUGAAAACAAUACAUGAAUAUUUAGAAAAUUUCUAAAUAUAAUUUAAGUAAAAUUAAGUAAUUAAGUUUACGAGCAUGCUCGUAUUUAUUUACGAGCAAAGUUUAAUGGCUCAUUAAAAAUAAAAGUUAC